CCUACGGGAGGCAGCAGUGAGGAAUAUUGGUCAAUGGACGCAAGUCUGAACCAGCCAAGCCGCGUGCAGGAAGACGGCUCUAUGAGUUGUAAACUUCUUUUAUACGAGGAUAAACUCAGCCACGUGUAGCUUUCUGAAAGUAUCGUAUGAAUAAGGAUCGGCUAACUCCGUGCCAGCAGCCGCGGUAAUACGGAGGAUUCAAGCGUUAUCCGGAUUUAUUGGGUUUAAAGGGUGCGUAGGUGGAUGGAUAAGUUAGUGGUGAAAUCCCGAGGCUCAACUUCGGAAUUGCCUCUGAUACUGUUCGGCUAGAGAGUAGUAGAGGUAGGCGGAAU
rnacentral:rRNA from 1 species